ensembl:lincRNA 2810030D12Rik RIKEN cDNA 2810030D12 gene
UCGGGGAUGGGAGCGCUUAGGGACCCGAACCGAGUGCACCUGCUGCAGCCUGGCACUAGGGAUUUGAAAAUCCAUGGAGAUGGAAACCUAUGCCGAGGUUAGAAGACCUGGAUCCACUUUGCAGGAUUUUAAAUAUCCUUCAAGCCUCAGUGCCUGGCAGACUGGACUUUGGACUUCGGACUUCCAGCUCCGAUGCUGAAAAAGGAGAGUUUUUUUGUUUUUUUUGUUUGUUUGUUUUUCCACUUUGCUUCCUUGCUUGUCGAGGCUGAGAACAUACGGUGUUUUUGAGGGCCACCAUCUAAGGGUACUCGCUUCUCCAAACCUUGGAACCCGAGGUCUAGCCUUGGAAAGAGUUGCCGCCUUACCGUCUCUCCUCGCCUAGAGAAGCCCCAGCUGUGUGCGCUACUGCAGGGUCACAGUGCUGCGGUGCCGAGCUUCUUUCGUGGUCCCUGUCGCCGUCCGUUUCUUGAGAUUUCAGACUCUGGGCUUGGAAACCAGUUGACUGCCUUUCUUAGCGAGGUGCCCUCGGAAACCUGUGGAGGAAUGUUUGGAUUAUGAAUGCUCACCGUGCCGAGUCCUCGAAGCUAUGUGACAGAGGUGGAGCACCUGGAAUGCAUAGAGAACCAGGUUCCCUUUGGAAAAUAUUCACUCGCUUCCACCAGCCCAAACCCGAAGGUACCAUCAGUACGUGAGGCCUACAACAGGGUUCUCUGUUUUCCUGUAGCCAGCCUCUCUGAUGCUCCCAACAAUGUAUUUGAAAAGCA